rnacentral:rRNA from 1 species
CCCUUAGAUGUUCUGGGCCGCACGCGCGCUACACUGAUGCAUUCAACGAGUCUAAAACCUGCUCUGAUAGGGGUGGGUAAUCUUUUGAAUGUGCAUCGUGAUUGGGAUAGAUGAUUGAAAUUUUUCAUCUUCAACGAGGAAUGCCUAGUAAACGCGAGUCAUCAGCUCGCAUUGAUUACGUCCCUGCCCUUUGUACACACCGCCCGUCGCACCUACCGAUUGAAUGUUUCGGUGAAGAUUCCGGAUAGGACUUUUUUGAUUUAUUUCAAUUCUGUCUUAAAAGCUAUCUAAACCUCAACAUUUAGAGGAAGGUGAAGUCGUAACA